GUGCUGCGCGUGCUAUACAUGCAGUCGAGCGGACCAGAAAUCUGGAGGCUUGCUCUGGUUUGGUCAGCGGCGGACGGGUGAGUAACACGUGGGCAACCUGCCCGCAAGACCGGGAUAACUCCGGGAAACCGGAGCUAAUACCGGAUAACACCGAAGACCGCAUGGUCUUUGGUUGAAAGGCGGCCUUUGGCUGUCACUUGCGGAUGGGCCCGCGGCGCAUUAGCUAGUUGGUGAGGUAACGGCUCACCAAGGCGACGAUGCGUAGCCGGCCUGAGAGGGUGACCGGCCACACUGGGACUGAGACACGGCCCAGACUCCUACGGGAGGCAGCAGUAGGGAAUCUUCCGCAAUGGGCGAAAGCCUGACGGAGCGACGCCGCGUGAGCGAAGAAGGCCUUCGGGUCGUAAAGCUCUGUUGUGAGGGACGAAGGAGCGCCGUUCGAAGAGGGCGGCGCGGUGACGGUACCUCACGAGGAAGCCCCGGCUAACUACGUGCCAGCAGCCGCGGUAAUACGUAGGGGGCGAGCGUUGUCCGGAAUUAUUGGGCGUAAAGCGCGCGCAGGCGGUUCCUUAAGUCUGAUGUGAAAGCCCACGGCUCAACCGUGGAGGGUCAUUGGAAACUGGGGGACUUGAGUGCAGGA
rnacentral:rRNA from 1 species